CCCACCCAAUCUAAAUUUGGAAAAUACACUUUUAUAAUAAAAAACUUGCAGGUAUGAACAUAAUUGUAAGUAUACACCGGCACUGUAUUGACAUACAUAAUUCCACCAAGCUUGACCAACACAUUCAUCACCAAUUACGAUACUGAGCUGCUCUCCAGUUGGUUGUAUUUGCUGUGAUUCGACCACUUCUUGUUGUUGUAUAAAACAAAGUACUGGCUUCAAUAGCAUCAUUUGCAUUUGAUAAUUUGGAUAGUUUUGUUUACUUUUAUUAUUAAUAUCUUUAUUUUUUGAAGUAGACAUGCAUGGGUUUUUGUUUGGUGGCCCAACCGUGGACAUACAAAAAAAUUGGCGGCCCAUCGAAACUGCCCAAAGAUUUUCCAUGGCCCAUCCCAAAUCACUCCAGCCCACCCUAGCAGUUACUUUAUGACCGGUC